rnacentral:rRNA from 1 species
UGAACUUAAGCAUAUCAAUAAGCGGAGGAAGAGAAACAAACAUGGAUUCCCCUAGUAGCGGCGAGCGAAGCGGGAUGAGCCCAGAUUUGAAAGCUCCCUUGCGGGCGCAUUGUAAGCUGGAGACGUGCCUCGUGCGGUGCGGCUGGACGCCAAGUCUGCUGGAAAGCAGCAUCAGAGAGGGUGAGAAUCCCGUGCUUGGUCUGGCCUGGUGCCGUGUUGUGGGGUGCGCUCGACGAGUCGCGUUGUUUGGGAAUGCAGCGCAAAGAGGGGUGGUAAAGGCCAUCCAAGGCUAAAUAUGGGGGAGAGACCGAUAGCGAACAAGUACCGUGAGGGAAAGAUGAAAAGCACUUUGGAAAGAGAGUUAAAGAGUACGUGAAAUUGCCAAAAGGGAAGCGUUGGAAGUCAGUGCCGGAGCGGCGCCGCGUCUGCCCCUCUCGGGGGGUGUACUGUGGCGGCGUGGGGCCCAUGUCGGUUGUGUGUGGGGGAGAAGGCGGCGCGGAAGGUGGCUUUCCCUUUGGGGGGAGUGUUAUAGCCGCGCUGUGGAUGCCCUGCGGACGACCGAGGACUGCCGUGUGGUGGACAUGGGCUUAAUGGCUUUCAGCGGCCCGUCUUGAAACACG